rnacentral:rRNA from 1 species
UAAGCGGAGGAAAAGAAACUAACAAGGAUUCCCUUAGUAACGGCGAGUGAAGUGGGAAAAGCUCAAAUUUUAAAUCACCCGGGGGUUCCCUUGGUGAAUUGUAAUUUGAAGAAAGUGUUUUGACGUUCGGGUUCGAUUUAAAUCCUUUGGGAUAAGGUAUCAUAGAGGGUUAGAAUCCCGUUUAUGAUUGAUCCUUUGAAUGUCUAUAAUUCACUUUCCAAGAGUCGAGUUGUUUGGGAUUGCAGCUCAAAAAGGGUGGUAAAUUUCACCUAAGGCUAAAUAUGUGCAAGAGACCGAUAGCGAACAAGUACCGUGAGGGAAAGAUGAAAAGAACUUUGAAAAGAGAGUCAAAUAGUACGUGAAAUUGUUGAAAGGGAAACGAUUAAAGUCAGUCAUGUUGGUGGGGAAUCAACUUGAUAGUAUGCGGGUUUACUCGUGUCCUUUCUAGUGCACUUCCUUACUUGCAGGUUAGCAUCAAUUUCGGUUAUCAUAUAAAAAUUGAGGAAAUGGUGGCUUUUCUUCGUAAAAGUGUUUAUAGACCUUGAUAAAUGUGGUGAUCGGGAUUGAGGAUUUGCAGACGGAUACCCUUUGGGCUAGUCACCUGGCUUCUGAUGGUUACCCCGUCUUCGAUAGCAUGGCUAACGUUGAUGGGACUCGAUUGUCUAGAUGUUCAGAGUGAUCAUAAAUUCGCUAAGGAUGCUGACGUAAUGGCUUUAAACGACCCGUCUUGAAACACGGAACCAAGGAGUCUAACAUNUGGUGCGAGUGUUUU